AUUGAAAAUGAUGAAAAGAGGUUUUUGGCAGCAGCUUUUAGUUGACUGAACUGCUGUAUGACUAUUUUGUGCUUGGAGAUCUUCACAAUUUGUACUCGAAACUUUUAUUUCAUUAAAGAAUUGUUCUUCAAGCUUACAGAGCUUCAUUCAAAUCGAAACCAGUCCGUUCACAAUCUACCCUUGUUGCUUCAUCAAAGCAACCCAAAACGAGGAGCACAAAUCAGACUCGACUAGUAGACAUCGUAAAAGCAUCUCUUCUUGGCGGAGCGUAAGUGGAUUUCACCCUCGUCUCAGGCGAUUAUAAUCACCACAGCCGAUCGAUGAUCGGCACGUUUCGUCGUGGCACGUGACUCCCCUUGCCGUCCUCGUGACCGUUUCACGAUUCGUUGUCCACCGCUCGUUAGGCUAGUCUCGCGAUUUACGAUUUUACCGUGCGAAAUACGCGCGAAUAAUCAAGAGAAAAAGAAGCAGAGAGGAAAGAUUUCGCGCGGCGGGGCACGUAGCGCAUGGCACAAGGAGCGGAAUCGCCUGUAAUGACUAUGAAGCAUCCCUGCGAGGUCGAUCCGCGGCCGAGCAUUAUGCUUUCGUAAAAUAUCACGAUCAGUCGCGCCACGAAUGGAAGUCGACGAUGAUCAUGCUUCCUUUACAUCGCGCGUACAUAAAGUGCGAGACACGCAUUGCGUGUGACCCGCGUCGCGCAAUCAACGUCGCGUUAACGCACGGUAUUCAACCUUGUCGCGGAAAAAUAACGUUGAUCGAGGUCGACGUCGGCUGUCUCGAUCAUGAUAGUAUAGUUGCUGCAGGAGAUGUGAUGACGUAGUGAAAUUUGUCAAGUAACUUAAAAUACUUUGGAGAACAUAAGGUAUUAAAUCCUCAUUCACAAUCAUGCGAUGUCAACUAGAAACUAUAUUCUGUCACCGUUUCUUUAAAAAAUGUGAAAAUUAAUUUUUAUAAGUAUAAAUUAAUUUUUUCUAACACAGCCGUUAUUAAACAAAAAGUUACGAAGAUUUAAUAUCAUAGAAUUUCAAUGAAACAUUUGCAGCCUCAUAUUUAAAGGACUUCUGACGUUGUACAAUGUUAGUAUCGUGAUAGAGAAAAGUCAGAGAGAAAUACUAUACAUCGCAUAAAAUGUAAACUAAAACAUGCAUAAUCGAAGUGCAGCUUCAUCACAAAUACGAUAAGUAUUGCAUUUUAAUAUAACUUGUAUCACAUCGAUAUCACUGAUUUACAUCAACAAGAAAUUAAUACAGUUAACUGUAGAAUGAAAAUACGUUUGUCAUGAAGUAGCAAUUGCUACGUUAUGCAAAUCGUUGCGACAGACAUGUUUCUAGAACUGCGUUUGUUUUAUUCAACAGAGCACAUUCGUUCAAAGUUUUCCUAUUUUUCCGAGAUCUUAACAAGUCGAUUACAACACGCUCUCGUUACAUUUACUUCGUUGUAUCUAUUCAACUGAACGGCACACGUUAACAUGCAUUAACCAUAAGCGCGUCCUACAUUUUUAGAAGUACGAUCGGAUGAUCUCGAGUGUCAAGCGUCCUCGCAAUAACUGAAACAAUAAUUAACUCUGUCGCGUUUCGUUAUGUGCGACGCAACGAGUGGGCAGCGAAACUUUCAAACCUCGAAAGCUUAUCUGACACUCCGAAUCAGUGAACAGUAGACCUACGAAACAAGCGAGUGCCAUCAUUAGAAUUCGUGUCGUUUCCUUUACACGGCCUGAAGGACUGAUUCGAAGUUCCAUGCUCGAAUAAUUUUGUAACCACUUUUACAACAAUCCGCGAGUACCCAUAACAAUUCUUUAUUUCAUGUUGAUUACGGAUUCGCAAUACGAGAAAAUGUUUCGCUUUCGUAUUCCUACUGGAUUUAUAUUAAAUGUAAUUAAUAAAGUUGUUCUUAAGUAAAAUCUUAACACGGUCGUUGCUGGUGAUUUUAUAGAAAUCCUAAAAUAGAAAAGUACAUUAUGAUUAAAGCAAAGAUAGGACUUUGAAGAGUUGUCUUUUAAAUAUCAUAUUUUAUGUCACUUUGUGUUGUUUAUUAUAAUUCAAAUAAAUGCAAAAAAUUCUUAUUGAGGUUUCUGAGAUAAAAAAUAGUAAAACAUACCUCACUAUCAUUAUCAUUUUGCAAUAAAGUAACUUUUAUUAUGUUAUCUAGGUAUUUCAGAUGGAGUUAUUAAUGAAGAUUUACUGAUUCCUUGAAUGGAACAUUCUACGAAACGUUUAAUUCAUCAUUCCGUAUUUUGUGCUUAUAGAGCUCUGAAAUAUAGGAAUACGCAGUUCGAAGGAAGCCAUAAAAAAGCAUAGGGUUAUUUUCUCGUCGCUUUAUCGGCUGAAGAAGAAUGUUCCAUUCAUACUUUUACACACCAUUUAUGGACGCCUUAUGUACGCGAUAUCAGCCUUAUCAGCACUUCUACGCCACCUACAAUUUAAUGCUGCUGUAUGCGCAUGUAGAGCUAUCGGAAAAGGAAAGACGGCGUUGCAAGAAAUGCUACCUGCGCAGCAAACAAUCGUGGAACUCCUUGUCGACGAGUAUUCAAUGCCAAUCCCAGGGAUUCAAAUAUCGUUCUAAUUCUUUGUCCUUUAUUACACGACAACUUCGAUAUUUAUGACGACAAUGUAAAACAGCCGAAUAUUAUAUUCACCUAUUAUAAGAAA